AACGAACGCUGGCGGCAUGCCUAACACAUGCAAGUCGAACGAGACCUUCGGGUCUAGUGGCGCACGGGUGCGUAACGCGUGGGAACCUGCCCUUAGGUUCGGAAUAACUCCCCGAAAGGGGUGCUAAUACCGGAUAAUGUCUUCGGACCAAAGAUUUAUCGCCUUUGGAUGGGCCCGCGUUGGAUUAGCUAGUUGGUAGGGUAAAAGCCUACCAAGGCGACGAUCCAUAGCUGGUCUGAGAGGAUGAUCAGCCACACUGGGACUGAGACACGGCCCAGACUCCUACGGGAGGCGGCAGUGGGGAAUAUUGGACAAUGGGCGAAAGCCUGAUCCAGCAAUGCCGCAUGAGUGAUGAAGGCCUUAGGGUUGUAAAGCUCUUUUACCCGGGAUGAUAAUGACAGUACCGGGAGAAUAAGCUCCGGCUAACUCCGUG
rnacentral:rRNA from 1 species